rnacentral:rRNA from 1 species
UAGGGAAUCUUCCGCAAUGGACGCAAGUCUGACGGAGCAACGCCGCGUGAGUGAAGAAGGAUUUCGGUUCGUAAAACUCUGUUGUUAGAGAAGAACAGCGCAUAGAGUAACUGUUAUGCGUGUGACGGUAUCUAACCAGAAAGCCACGGCUAACUACGUGCCAGCAGCCGCGGUAAUACGUAGGUGGCAAGCGUUGUCCGGAUUUAUUGGGCGUAAAGCGAGCGCAGGCGGUCAAUUAAGUCUGAUGUGAAAGCCCCCGGCUCAACCGGGGAGGGUCAUUGGAACCUGGUUGACUUGAGUGCAGAAGAGGAGAGUGGAAUUCCAUGUGUAGCGGUGAAAUGCGUAGAUAUAUGGAGGAACACCAGUGGCGAAGGCGACUCUCUGGUCUGUAACUGACGCUGAGGUUCGAAAGCGUGGGUAGCAAACAGG